rnacentral:rRNA from 1 species
AUUGAACGCUGGCGGCAGGCCUAACACAUGCAAGUCGAGCGGAUGAAGGGAGCUUGCUCCUGGAUUCAGCGGCGGACGGGUGAGUAAUGCCUAGGAAUCUGCCUGGUAGUGGGGGAUAACGUCCGGAAACGGGCGCUAAUACCGCAUACGUCCUGAGGGAGAAAGUGGGUGAUCUUCGGACCUCACGCUAUCAGAUGAGCCUAGGUCGGAUUAGCUAGUUGGUGGGGUAAAGGCCUACCAAGGCGACGAUCCGUAACUGGUCUGAGAGGAUGAUCAGUCACACUGGAACUGAGACACGGUCCAGACUCCUCCGGGAGGCAGCAGUGGGGAAUAUUGGACGAUGGGGGAAAGCCUGAUCCAGCCAUGCCGCGUGUGUGAAGAAGGUCUUCGGAUUGUAAAGCACUUUAAGUUGGGAGGAAGGGCAGUAAGUUAAUACCUUGCUGUUUUGACGUUACCAACAGAAUAAGCACCGGCUAACUUCGUG